rnacentral:rRNA from 1 species
GAACAGGGAUGAGCCCAGCACCGAACCUCGCGCCCGGUUAAGCGGGUGCCGAGGAAUGUGGUGUUCGGGAGGAUCGUGCGCGCCUGUCCGGUACUUAUCGUCCAAGUCUCCAUGAACGGGGCGAGCAACCCACAGAGGGUGUCAGGCCCGUAGAUUAGACGAGCCGAGACCGUGCAUUGGAUCCCUUCCCAAGAGUCGGGUUGCUUGAGCGUGCAGCCCUAAGCGGGAGGUAAACUCCUUCUAAGGCUAAAUAUCGCCACGAGACCGAUAGCGAACAAGUACCGCGAGGGAAAGUUGAAAAGAACUUUGAAGAGAGAGUUCAAGAGUGCGUGAAACCGUUCAGGGGGUUAAACGGGUGGGCCCUCGAAGGUCGAACGAGUCCCCGCUCCCGGCACUUGGUUGCAUGCCUUCUGGCUGCGAGAGACCGUCUGAAUUGGCGGCUCGAUCGCUGGCUGAAGACCGCAUUAGCCGCGCCAAGGUCCGCUAGUGGGGGACCUAGUAGGACUCCGCGACCGACUGGGUGUCUGCUAUACGGGGCGUUCGUUAGCGAGUUUUGGGGCUUCGGUUCCUCGACGAGCGCGGCGUCAUCCAGCAGUACCGCCCGGUCGUGACCUGUCUCCUCGCGGACAUGCUUUCG